rnacentral:pre_miRNA from 1 species
AGUGUGAUUGCUGGAUCAUAUGGUAAGAGAUAUUGGGUUUUAGAAGAAACUGCCAAAUUAUGUUCCAAAAUGGGUAUGCCAUUUUGCUUUCCCACGAGCAAU